rnacentral:lncRNA from 1 species
GAAGUGUCUUUUGCCUCCUGCCAUGAUUCUGAGGCCUCCCAGCCAUGUGGAACUGUUCGUGGUCUCGCUGUCAGGAGCGAAGCUGCAGACCUUCGUGGUGAGUGUUACAGCUCUUCAAAGGCAGCGCGUCUGGAGUUGUUCCUUCUUCCUGGUGGGUUCGUGGUCUCGUUGGCUUCAGGAGUAAAGCUGCAGACCGUCAAGCCAGACAUAAAAGCUCUCCCAAGUCCCCGCCAGACUCAGGAGGCCAGCUGGCUUCACCCAGUGGAUCCGGCACCGGGGCUGCAGGCGGAACUGCCCACCAGUCCUGAGCCAUGCAACCGUACUCCUCAGCCCCUGGGCAGUCGACUGGACCAAGCACCGCGGAGCAGGGGGCGGUGCUCAUUGGGGAGGCUCAACAAGGUGGGAUCCCACCAGGGGCGCCGGAGGGUGGGGGUGGGGGGGUGGGGGGUGGGGGGGGUGGGGUGGGGGGAUGGAGAGGGGGUGGAGGGGUGGAGGGGUUGGAGGGGCGGGAGGUGGGGUCGGGGAAGGGACAGGAAGGAAUGGAGUUUCUGCUCACGGGGAGGUGGAAGUGAGGCCUGGAACCCCAGCGGUGCGAUCUGC